rnacentral:lncRNA from 1 species
CGAUCGCCCGAGUAGAUUGGGUGGAUGCAGAGCUGGCCUGGGGCCCUCCCUGCCCCGCGACUAGGUGGAGAAGCGGUGCACCAAGGCGCAGAAGGAAGUGGAUGAGUCAUUUCUUAGGAUAAGCCCAGUGUGGACAAAUAUGCAGGUGGAACAGGAGGUGUGUGGGCGUUUGUGCUUAAGCUCACAGAUGCUCCCCCUGCAGAUGCCCAGGACCCUGGGUAGAGCCCGGGGACUGCUGGUGAUACCCUCAUGUUGAGAAUGAGGUGAAGAAUUCAGUGUCACCUGGGAACCCAAGUUGUGCCCUGUCCACGGAGGGUGGGGUUGGCAGAGCAUCUGUGCGCCCACUCUUGUCCUUGGCCUGUGAUUUUCACAAGAGGUGGCCAGAGAUCACAGAGUGGAUGCAGCAUUCAUGAGAGUUUCCAAGGAAAAGACCUCAGGAUGAGGAGGAAUGGCCGAUGUGUCUGUUGGAGCAAGGAUACGGUUGGCCCUGUAGGUGCAGCAGGCAGCAGGCCUGCCUAAGAAGGUGUGUGAACGGAACAGCAAACACAAGCACCGUGCAGAAAACACACUUGCGGGACAUGGCCAUCCGGAAGCGCUGAGGGAUGGGAAGGGGGAGCAGCCGCUCCCAAGGCCUCAAAACAUGCUUCCCCUCAGCGUGGUGACCUGUGCCCUGGAGGCGACCUUAACCAGGUGACCGUGUCCUUCUGCUGGGUCUGGGAUAACUGGGCACCAACUUUAACGGCUCAGAGAAAGAUUGGAACUCUUGGCACCCUUGUUUGGAAUGUCUUCCAAGUAGCUAAGGGUGAAUUUUCUUCAAUGAAAUAUAUUAAUUUAUAAGAAGGAAAGAUCAAAAAGCAUACAUUGUUUACAGAACCUUGAAGCAUUUGUGUUUCAACCAGCUCAGCAUUAGAAAGGAAUUUAUCUAAAAUGGGAAAUCACAUUUGGAAACAUUUAAACAACCGCUUCUGGGUCUGGAGAGGCGAUCUGUCGCAGCACGCGUCUGCAGGAACCCUGGUUCUGGAAAGGUUCACCAUGGAUCUGGUCCUGUUAGCGUUUCUGUGGGACACAGGGCUGGGAUCAGAGCAACAAUCACCUUUACAACUCAAGGAACCGGCUGUUGGUGAGUCUGUAGCCACAGGAUGCAUGUGCUGGGCAGUCCUUUCAUGACCCAACAGCUUCCACUGGCCUGAAGCCCUAAGCAGUACAAGGAAGAAAGAACAGUGUGAAUCGCUGGUUCUUGACGGAUGUGCCUUAGGUGAGGAGUGAGCGUGCUGAAUCUUCUACUGCAUCUGGAGGAGGAGAAGGAGCCUUGGUGACAUAGGCAGGUGCUUCUGCUUCAACCUUUGGUGCAAGUGAAUAAAGAAAGAAAUAAAGACACCAGAAAGCUGGGAGGUGCUGGAGAGGGAUCCAGGCAUAAACCUGGACGACAGAGAUGGAGCUGGUGAGGAUAAAAGUCACGCAGAAAAUGUUCUAGGGUGCAGAACCGAAGGUCUCUUGAGGACAGCUCUGCUACUUGUUUCUCAGGAAUUUUGAGUAAGAAAGUUACUUUACUCCUUUGGGCCUCUGUCCUCAUGUGUAGAAGUGGGCUAACAACCCCCCUCUACUCAAAUGCUAGGAUCAGGGAUAACACAGAUGAAGCAUUUUACUCCAGAGGGAUAAAUUGAUAUUAUUAUGAAGGAUCAAAACUUCACUUUUUUUUCUUUUUACAGCUGCACCUGUGGUGUAUGGAAGUUCCAGGGUCAGGGAUGGAAUUGUAGCUGCAGCUGGAGUCUAUGCCACAGCCACAACAAUACCAGAUCCAAGACGCAUCUGUGACCUACACCAUAGCUUGUGGCAAUGUCUGAUCAUUAACCCACUGAGCAAGGCCAGGGAUCAAACUCGCAUCCCCACAGACACUAUCUCCGUUUCUUAACCUGCUGAGUCACAAUAGGAACUGUGAAUCAGAACUUCAGAAUGCCUCCAAAAUGAAUUUAAAUGCCUCUUUGUCCCUAUUAUUAGGAUAAUGUGAAACUUUUAUUCAGAGUUUUGACUGUUCCCUUUUUAGCAUUUUUUAGGGCUGAAUCUGUUAUUUUAUAUAGUUUUAAGAGAGUGAACACUAUAUUUCUGUAAAGUAAUAAGUAGUGUUAGGCAUAAAAAACCCUGAAAUCUGCAUUUCCUUCUUGCACCAUUUUAACUUCCUAGUAGCUAUAAUCUUCAUGGUCCUCAGUUUCUCCACUCACUUUAAUAGUACAGGAGUGAAAGCUAUACUGUUGUUAAAGAGGGUGACCUGGUGCCUGGUGCAUAGUGAGCAUUCAAUGAAUUAAAAGAUAGGUAGAUAGAUAGAUGAUAGAUUGAUAAUAGAUCAAUGAUGGAGAGAUAUAAAAGAUAGAUAUAGAUAGACAAUUGAUAAACAAUAGAUGAUAUAAUUAGAUAAUUUUUUUGACCACACCUGUGGCAUGUGGAAAUUCCUAGGCCAGGCAUCAAAUCCCUGCCGCAGCAGUGACAAUGCCGUAUCCUUAACCUGCUGAGCCACAGGGAAAUCUAUUGAUAGAUAAUAGAUAGAUGAUUAUUGAACAAUAGAUAGUUGAUAGAUAAUAAACUGAUAGAUAGGAGUUAGAUAAUUACAUAUAUACAUAAUACAUAAUAGAUACACAAAUACACACAUAAUAUAUACAUACACACAUAUAUACAUAAUACAUAUAUAAAACAAGCAGUCCCUUGUAUGAUCACUCACCAUAUCUUGUCACCACUCACAACUGCUUUUUCUUUUGGUGUCUUGUCUUCUUAUUGACAGCAAACUCACACAGUCUAGGGAGAGAAGAGAAUGCCCUCAAGUAUUAAAACCCUAUAGCUAAUAUCAUAAUUAAUGGUAAUAGACUGAAUUCUUUCUCGCUAAUAUCAAAGAUAUUUUCUGUUUCCCUGUCUAUCCAUUAGUACUAGAACUAUUAUUAGAGGUACUAUCCAGUGCAUUAAAGCAAGAAAAAGAAAUAAAAGACUCAAUAUUGGAAAAUAAAUAAAAUACUUUAUAGAAAUCAUAAUCAUUUAUUUUAAAAAAUCUUUUGGAAUCUACAGGGAAAGCUACUAUGAUUUAUGAAUAAGCAUAACAAAGUUUCAGGAUAAAGAGCCAAUACUGAAAAAAUCACUGAAAAAUCAAGUGGAAGCUAGAUAAACUAUAUAUUUAACAAAACAUCAAAAACAUGAAAUACUUGGGAGGGAUAUAUUUGACUAAAGAUGGGCAAGACUUGAUCACUGAACACUACAAAAUGUAGCUGAGAGAAAUUAAGGGAGACUUGAACAAAUGAAGAGAGAUACUGUGAUCAUAGAUUGGAUAACUUCAUAUUGUGAAAGUGUGAACUUACCCCCAAAUUAAUCUAUGAAUUAAUGUAAUUCUAUUCAAAAUCUCAGCUGGCUUUUUUUUUUUUUUUUUUUUUUUAGAAAUUGACAAGCUGACUUUAAAAUUCAGGAAAUGUCAAAAUGACCUAGAAUAGACAAAACAACUUUGAAAAAGAACAAAUUUAGAGAACUUAAUACUACUUGGUUUCAAGACUUAUAAAGUUAGAAUAUGGGAGCUCCUGCUCUGGUGCCAUGGGUUAAGGAUCCAGAGGCACUGCUGCAGCUCUGGUUUAGGCUGCAGCUAUGGCUCGGAUUCAGUCCCUGACCUGGGAACUUCCAUGUGCUGUGGGUGUGGCAAUAAAUAAAUAAAUAAAUAAAUAAAUAAAUAAAGCUACAGACUUAAAGACAGUGUAGCAUUGGAAAAAAGAUAAGCAAAUGGAGUAAUGUAACAGCAGAGAAUGGAGUUCAAAAUAGACUGAUAUAUAUAUAUAAUCAAUUAUUUUAAACAAUGUUGGUGAGGUAGUUCAAUUGAGAAAUGCUAAUGAUUUAACUAAAUAGUGCUGAAACAACUGCAUAACAUAUUGAAAAAAAUGAAACUCAACCCCUACCUCAUAAUAUAUACGAAAAUUAACCCAAGAUGGAGAAAAACCUAAAAAUAAGACCUAAAACUUCCAGAAUAAGAUCUAGAAAAGCUUAGUGACUUUAUAUUUGGCAAAGUUUCUUAAAAAUAAAACAAAAGGCAUGGAACAACUGACAGUUUGGACUUCAAAAAAUAAAAACUUCUACUGUUCAAAAAAAAUGCUGUUAUGAAAAUAAAAGGCGAGGCACAUACCAGGAGAAAAUAUUGCAAAAUAGAUCUAACAGAGGAGUUCCCAUUGUGGCACAGCAGAAACGAAUCCCGCCAGUAUCCAUGAGGAUGUGGGUUCAAUCCCUGGCCUUGCUCAGUGGGUCAGGGAUCUGACUUUGCCAUGAGCUGCAGUGUAGGUUACAGAUGUGGCUUGGGUCCUGUGUUGCUGUGGCUGUGGCUGUGGCUGGGACUACAGCUCUGAUUUGAGCCCUAGACUGGGAACUUCCAUAUGCCAUCAUUGUGGCCCUAAAAAGAAAAAAAUGAAACAAAAUAUAUAUCUGACAAAGAAAUUGUACUUGGAAUAUAUAAAUAACUACAACUUAAUAACAAGAUGACAAACAAUUCAAUUGAAAAUGGGAAAAAGAUUUCAACCAAUAAUACAUCAGGGACAAUAAUACAUGGAUAGCAAAUAAGCAAAUGAAAAGAUGCUCAACCUCAUUAAUUAUUAAAGAAAGGCAAAUUAAAACCACAAUGAGAUACCAGUACACACCCAUUAGAACUACUAAAAUUCAAAAGGCUGACAAAACCAAGUGUUGGAGAGAAAGUAGAUCAGCUGGAAUGUCAUGCAUUGGGUGCAGAAAUGUAAGAUGGCACACUUUGGAAAACAGCUUCUAAAGAAAUUAGGAUGUGACUACCACAUGACCCUGCAAUGCCACUCCUAGGUAUUUACCCAUGAGAAAUGAAAGUAUAUGUCUAUGCCAAGACACAAAUGUUCAUGGCAGUUUAAUUUGCCAUCAGGACUGGUAUGGGGGCAAAGCAAGUGGGGUAUUUGUACAAACCUGAUAGUGAGCUCCUUCUUAAGUUUCAUGCACAAGGUGCCUUUCUCUUGCCCUCGUCUGGAUUCUGUUUAUGAUAGUCAACACUUGAAAACAAUCUAAACAUCCAUCUACAGAUGGGCGGUUAGAGAAUCUGCUACAUCCAUACCAUGAAGCAUGAUGCUGUGUUUGCUUCAACAGCAUAAAAACAGAUUCCUGCAUAAGGAUGACAUGCAAAUUUCUGAAGCGCUUCAUAUUUUUUAAGACAUAAGUCCUAAAAAUGUAAUAUACAGCAUAGUAAUAUGGUUAAUAAUAUUAUAUGUAUAUUUGAAAGUUGCUAAGAGAAUAGAUCUUAAAAGUUCUCAGCAAAAGGAAAAAAGUUGUAAAUGUGUGGGGUGAUGGAUGUUAACUAGAUUUACUGUGAUCAUUUCACAGUAUUUACAAUUAUCAAAUCAUUAAGCUGUACAAACUGAAACUAAUGUAAUGUUAUAGGGUGGUCAUAUCAAUACAAAAAGACAAAUUCUAUUCAGCAAUGAAAAGAGACAAAUUAUUGAUUCAUGCAGUAACAUGGAUAAAUUUCAAAACGAUUAUUCUGAGUGAAAGAAGUUAUAGACAAAAAGAAUACAUGAGUUAUGAAUUCCAUUUAUAUAAAACUUUAGAAAAUGUACUUAAUCUAUAGUGACAGAAAGAAGAUCAGUGGUUGCCAGGGAAAUGAGCAAGAAGUGGGGGGGGGGGAAUACCAAGGGGAAAAUAGGAAGUUUGGGGAGUGAUAGCAUAUGUUCACACCUUGACUGUACUGAUGGUUUCACAUCUGUAUACAUGUUAUACAUCAUUAAACUUCACUCUUCAGUAUGUGCUGUUUAUUCUAUGUCAAUUAUGUCUAAAUAAAGCUGUUAAAG